CACGUAGGCACCAAGCGUUGUCCGGAUUUAUUGGGCGGAAAGAGCUCGUAGGCGGUUCAGUAAGUCGGGUGUGAAAACUUUGGGCUUAACCCAAAGCGUGCAUCCGAUACUGCUGUGACUUGAGUUCGGUAGGGGAGUGGGGAAUUCCUAGUGUAGCGGUGAAAUGCGCAGAUAUUAGGAGGAACACCGGUGGCGAAGGCGCCACUCUGGGCCGAAACUGACGCUGAGGAGCGAAAGCAUGGGUAGCAAACAGG
rnacentral:rRNA from 1 species